UUUUACUAUGUUACAUCUAGAGACCAGGCUGCUUCACUCCACAUUUUAAAUUACCUAAUUUUAACAAAUAUAUAUGAUGAGAAUAAUUUCAAGUACCAAUAUUAGUACCGCUGGCCUACUGCGUUCUUAAACCAGAAGCAUAACAUUGUGAGACUUCCGGGAAUGCCUGCGACACAGACCAAGCAGACAGACCAGGCCUAGGAUUGAGAAGUAAAUGUGCGCGUUUGAGUGGUAAACCGACUGUAGACGAAAUGUUAAAUGGCAGACAUGGAAUUCGCCUUUGUUAUUGCCGAUGAAGUGGAUGCCAUCGAAAUUCCACUUCUCCUACACGAAGCUGAACAUGAACAACACGGUCCAAGACAUGCAUAUCUUAAUAAGGAAAUUACAUACCAGCCCAAACUCUUUCUAACAUUCACAAGACUUGUUUUGUAUGUUUGUGAUGGUUUUCUCAAAAUAUAACCAGGUAGUAGUGAGUGCAUAGGCUACUAGAAUGAGAGGUGUUUUUGCAGCAUAUGGGAUUUGCCGCAUAUGGGUUUGCCAUUACUUCAUGCCCUUGCACCUUCCUCAUUAUUAUUUGUGAUUGUGCAACAUGGAAUUGUAACAGUCCACAAAUAUUCUUACUGUACGGUAAUUGAUUGCAUGUCAGCAUCACUACAGCCGGCAGUAAUUUUUAACCUUUAUGUAGCUUUUGUCAGUAAACAUGUGAAGAACAGAAUUUGAUUCAAUCACAUGUACAAAACACUCACUGUACAGAAAAGGAUUAGACUAUACAUGUACAUCAGGUCACAUAAAUUACUGGUUAAACAAUAUGAAAAGGAUUAGACUACAUGUACUAUACAUCAGUUCACAUAAUUUACUGUGUAAACAAUAUGCUAAGCAGUCAAAUGCACUUGGUAUUGACCCCACGACUGGUGUCUGGGGUACUUGCUCAUUAAGGGCAGGUUUCCCGGACACAGAUUAAGCCCCUAAAAUUAAGCCUUUAAAAUACCGUGCGGUGGUACAAACAGAAGUACACACACCACUCCAAUUAGCUAGGGUUUAGCUAGUUGAAAAGCGAAGCACAUGUGCGUCAAGUAUGGAAAAUGCAG
rnacentral:lncRNA from 1 species